rnacentral:rRNA from 1 species
CAGGCCUAACACAUGCAAGUCGAACGAAGGCUUCGGCCUUAGUGGCGCACGGGUGCGUAACGCGUGGGAAUCUGCCCCUUGGUUCGGAAUAACAGUUAGAAAUGACUGCUAAUACCGGAUAAUGACGUAAGUCCAAAGAUUUAUCGCCGAGGGGUGAGCCCGCGUAGGAUUAGCUAGUUGGUGUGGUAAAGGCGCACCAAGGCGACGAUCCUUAGCUGGUCUGAGAGGAUGAUCAGCCACACUGGGACUGAGACACGGCCCAGACUCCUACGGGAGGCAGCAGUGGGGAAUAUUGGACAAUGGGCGAAAGCCUGAUCCAGCAAUGCCGCGUGAGUGAUGAAGGCCUUAGGGUUGUAAAGCUCUUUUACCCGGGAUGAUAAUGACAGUACCGGGAGAAUAAGCCCCGGCUAACUCCGUGCCAGCAGCCGCGGUAAU